rnacentral:miRNA from 11 species
UAGCUAUUCAACUUCUUGUCUAU